GCAAACUUGGUCAUUUAGAGGAAGUAAAAGUCGUAACAAGGUUUCCGUAGGUGAACCUGCGGAAGGAUCAUUAUCGUAUCUCUGGACCUGGCGUUUGAAGCGACCCAGUCGCGGCCUUCUCGGCUGCGCGGGACGUCGAGCGCCGGCCCAACCUUCACAAACCCACUGUGCACCUUUGCGGCGGAGGGCCUCGGGCGAGAGCUCGGGUCCGAUGCCGAUCACAAACCCUAGUUAAACAGAAUGAUCAGCGGCCGUUGUGCCGUCUAAAACACAAAACAACUUUCAACAACGGAUCUCUUGGCUCUCGCAUCGAUGAAGAACGCAGC
rnacentral:misc_RNA from 1 species